rnacentral:rRNA from 1 species
GAUGAACGCUAGCGGCAGGCCUAAUACAUGCAAGUCGAACGAGAUUAUCCAGCUUGCUGGAUUUGAAAGUGGCGCACGGGUGCGUAACGCGUAUGCAACCUACCUUAAUCAGGGGGAUAGCCCGGAGAAAUCCGGAUUAACACCGCAUAAAAACACAGGAUAGCAUUAUCCAAUGUUCAAAUAUUUAUAGGAUUAAGAUGGGCAUGCGUGUCAUUAGCUAGUUGGCGGGGUAACGGCCCACCAAGGCGACGAUGACUAGGGGAUCUGAGAGGAUGACCCCCCACACUGGUACUGAGACACGGACCAGACUCCUACGGGAGGCAGCAGUAAGGAAUAUUGGUCAAUGGAGGCAACUCUGAACCAGCCAUGCCGCGUGCAGGAAGACUGCCCUAUGGGUUGUAAACUGCUUUUAUCCGGGAAUAAACCUCUUUACGUGUAGAGAGCUGAAUGUACCGGAAGAAUAAGGAUCGGCUAACUCCGUGCCAGCAGCCGCGGUAAUACGGAGGAUCCAAGCGUUAUCCGGAUUUAUUGGGUUUAAAGGGUGCGUAGGCGGCCUGUUAAGUCAGGGGUGAAAGACGGUAGCUCAACUAUCGCAGUGCCCUUGAUACUGAUGGGCUUGAAUGGACUAGAGGUAGGCGGAAUGAGACAAGUAGCGGUGAAAUGCAUAGAUAUGUCUCAGAACACCGAUUGCGAAGGCAGCUUACUAUGGUCUUAUUGACGCUGAGGCACGAAAGCGUGGGGAUCAAACAGGAUUAGAUACCCUGGUAGUCCACGCCCUAAACGAUGAACACUCGCUGUUGGCGAUACACAGUCAGCGGCUAAGCGAAAGCGUUAAGUGUUCCACCUGGGGAGUACGGUCGCAAGAUUGAAACUCAAAGGAAUUGACGGGGGCCCGCACAAGCGGAGGAGCAUGUGGUUUAAUUCGAUGAUACGCGAGGAACCUUACCCGGGCUUGAAAGUUAGUGAAUGAUUUAGAGAUAGAUCAGUCCGCAAGGACACGAAACUAGGUGCUGCAUGGCUGUCGUCAGCUCGUGCCGUGAGGUGUUGGGUUAAGUCCCGCAACGAGCGCAACCCCUAUGUUUAGUUGCCAGCACGUCAUGGUGGGGACUCUAAACAGACUGCCUGUGCAAACAGAGAGGAAGGAGGGGACGACGUCAAGUCAUCAUGGCCCUUACGUCCGGGGCUACACACGUGCUACAAUGGAUGGUACAGAGGGCAGCUACAUAGCAAUAUGAUGCGAAUCUCACAAAGCCAUUCACAGUUCGGAUUGGGGUCUGCAACUCGACCCCAUGAAGUUGGAUUCGCUAGUAAUCGCGUAUCAGCAAUGACGCGGUGAAUACGUUCCCGGGCCU